GAUGAACGCUGGCGGCGUGCCCAAUACAUGCAAGUCGAGCGAACAGACGAGGAGCUUGCUCCUCUGACGUUAGCGGCGGACGGGUGAGUAACACGUGGAUAACCUACCUAUAAGACUGGGAUAACUUCGGGAAACCGGAGCUAAUACCGGAUAAUAUAUUGAACCGCAUGGUUCAAUAGUGAAAGACGGUUUUGCUGUCACUUAUAGAUGGAUCCGCGCCGCAUUAGCUAGUUGGUAAGGUAACGGCUUACCAAGGCAACGAUGCGUAGCCGACCUGAGAGGGUGAUCGGCCACACUGGAACUGAGACACGGUCCAGACUCCUACGGGAGGCAGCAGUAGGGAAUCUGCCGCAAUGGGCGAAAGCCUGACGGAGCAACGCCGCGUGAGUGAGGAAGGUCUUCGGAUCGUAAAACUCUGUUAUUAGGGAAGAACAAAUGUGUAAGUAACGAUGCACGUCUUGACGGUACCUAAGCAGAAAGCCACGGCUAACUACGU
rnacentral:rRNA from 1 species